GUUCACAACUCUUCCGAGCACGCGGCCGUCUCCUUUGUCAUCAUCAUCAGCUCAGAUCUAGCAGCUUCGCCUUCUCAGAUCUCGCUCACCUUGUAGAUCUCGCUCAGAUUCGUUUGUUCUCGCCAGACGCGCCCACUUCGCAACCGCCGCUGUGCCUAUGCUACCGCAUGGGCCUCUGCGCCUGGGAGGCUUGCGGCUGCCAGGCUUAAGUCACGGGGCAGCAGGAGUUCAGAUUUUUUUUAGGCCUCUGAAACAAGGCUAGCGCAUAUUAGCAUCGAGAGUCAGGAGAGUACGAAUGGGAAGUACCGUCAUAAAAUUAUCUUUGCUACUAGCAAUAGGAAGCACCGUCAUAAAAUUAACUCUGGUAAUAAAAUCGAUUGGAUAUAUAUUGUUUCUAGGAAACUAGGAAGGAUCCCGUGUAGAAAGUGUGGAUAGCUAGCCUUUUUCAUCGGAUCAUUUGGUUUUUUCUUGAAAUAUUUCUU